rnacentral:tRNA from 1 species
GGGGCCUUAGCUCAGCUGGGAGAGCGCAUCGCUGGCAGCGAUGAGGUCAGGGGUUCGAUCCCCCUUGGCUCCA